AUGGUUUCUCCACCAGUGUGUCAUAAACACAUUACGUCUUGGAGUCCGUGCUGUAGCUGGCUACAAAUUUGCAGCCCGCUGCUUUUCUCUAUCUCCUUUUAUCUCUUUAAAAUAUGUUUAUAGCUGGCUUAUAGCCUGCUAUUGUACCUGCUCUGAGGGAUUAACUUAUAUGUACACGGAUCAUGCUAAUAUCUUAUAAGAGCAGGUACAAUAGUAGACUAUAAGUCAACUAUAAACAUAUUCUAAAGAGAUAAAGAAAGAGAGAGAAAAGCAGCGGGCUAUGAAUCUGUAGCCAGCUGCAGCGUGGACUCCAAGACGUAAUGUGUAUAUGACAGGUGGGACUAAAUAUU
rnacentral:misc_RNA from 1 species